rnacentral:rRNA from 1 species
CCCUUAGAUGUCCUGGGCCGCACGCGCGUUACACUGAUGCAUUCAACGAGCUUAUAACCUUGGCCGAGAGGCCUGGGCAAUCUUGUUAACGUGCAUCGUGAUAGGGAUAGAUUAUUGAAAUUAUUAAUCUUGAACGAGGAAUUCCUAGUAAACGCAGAUCAUCAAUCUGCAUUGAUUACGUCCCUGCCCUUUGUACACACCGCCCGUCGCACCUACCGAUCGGAUGGUCCGGUGAAGCCUCGGGAUUGUGGUUCUUGCCGCUUUAUUGUAGCGUGACCGCGAGAACUUGUCUAAACCUUAUCAUCUAGAGGAAGGUGAAGUCGUAACA